GACCUUACCAGGGCUUGACAUCCCUCUGACAGCUCUAGAGAUAGGGCUUCCCUUCGGGGCAGAGGAGACAGGUGGUGCAUGGUUGUCGUCAGCUCGUGUCGUGAGAUGUUGGGUUAAGUCCCGCAACGAGCGCAACCCUUGUCGUUAGUUGCCAGCACGUUAAGGUGGGCACUCUAGCGAGACUGCCGGCGACAAGUCGGAGGAAGGUGGGGACGACGUCAAAUCAUCAUGCCCCUUAUGUCCUGGGCUACACACGUACUACAAUGGCUGCUACAAAGGGAAGCGAUACCGCGAGGUGGAGCAAAUCCCCAAAAGCAGUCCCAGUUCGGAUUGCAGGCUGAAACUCGCCUGCAUGAAGUCGGAAUUGCUAGUAAUGGCAGGUCAGCAUACUGCCGUGAAUACGUUCCCGGGCCUUGUACACACCG
rnacentral:rRNA from 1 species